rnacentral:rRNA from 1 species
UACAGAGGGUGCAACCGUUGUUCGGAAUUACUGGGCGUAAAGCGCACGUAGGCGGUCUUUUAAGUCGGGGGUGAAAUCCUGGAGCUCAACUCCAGAACUGCCUUCGAUACUGGAAGACUUGAGUCCGGGAGAGGUGAGUGGAACUGCGAGUGUAGAGGUGAAAUUCGUAGAUAUUCGCAAGAACGCCAGUGGCGAAGGCGGCUCACUGGCCCGGUACUGACGCUGAGGUGCGAAAGCGUGGGGAGCAAACAGG